rnacentral:rRNA from 1 species
UACAGAGGGGGCAAGCGUUGUUCGGAAUUACUGGGCGUAAAGGGCGCGUAGGCGGCCUGCUAAGUCGAACGUGAAAUCCCUGGGCUCAACCCAGGAACUGCGUCCGAUACUGGUUGGCUUGAAUCCGGGAGAGGGAUGUGGAAUUCCAGGUGUAGCGGUGAAAUGCGUAGAUAUCUGGAGGAAUACCGGUGGCGAAGGCGGCAUCCUGGACCGGCAUUGACGCUGAUGAGCGAAAGCUAGGGGAGCAAACGGG